rnacentral:lncRNA from 1 species
UUUUUUUUUUAAUUAAUUUUUGCUGAUAUAGUUCCAGUGCAAUAAUUGUUGAUGGGGCUGUAAUCCAAAAUGAAGAUGAUGUUAUUAUCAAUUGUGGAAGUGAAAUUAUUAGUGGCCCAGAUAAAGAAGGUUAGUCUUCACUGCUCUCUUUUUUCUUUUUUUUUUUUUUUUUUUUUUUCUAAUUAUGAAUUUCCUUGAGUAAGAGCAGUAAUUGGUGCAAUAUGCUGGUCAUAUUAGAACUUGUAUGGAUGUUAGCUGCUAUUCAGUAAUUUUAACAUUGCCAAUUAAGAUUCUUGUAUCUUUUUGAUACUGUGUUACUC